rfam:Schistosoma mansoni strain Puerto Rico chromosome 5, complete genome
AUCCAGUUGAUGAGUCCCGAGUAGGACGAAACGCGCGUCCUGGAU